CUUCAGUGAACAUUCAACGCUGUCGGUGAGUUUGGAAUUAAAAUCAAAACCAUCGACCGUUGAUUGUGCCCUGUGG
rnacentral:pre_miRNA from 1 species